rnacentral:rRNA from 1 species
UACGAAGGGUGCAAGCGUUAAUCGGAAUUACUGGGCGUAAAGGGUGCGUAGGCGGUUGUUUAAGUCUGUCGUGAAAUCCCCGGGUUCAACCUGGGAAUGGCGAUGGAUACUGGGCAGCUAGAGUGUGUCAGAGGAUGGUGGAAUUCCCGGUGUAGCGGUGAAAUGCGUAGAGAUCGGGAGGAACAUCAGUGGCGAAGGCGGCCAUCUGGGACAACACUGACGCUGAAGCACGAAAGCGUGGGGAGCAAACAGG